rnacentral:rRNA from 1 species
CGUAGGUGAACCUGCGGAGGGAUCAUUGCUGGAAGCGCCGCAAGGUGCACCCAGAAACCCUUUGUGAACUUAUACCUAUUAUCGUUGCCUCGGCGCUGGCUGCCCCUCACAGGGCGCCCUCUCUUCGGAGGGGACAGCAGGCCCGCCGGUGGCCUACUUAACUCUUGUUUUUACUGAGUAACUUCUGAGUAAAUUUCUAAAUGAAUUAAAACUUUCAACAACGGAUCUCUUGGUUCUGGCAUCGAUGAAGAACGCAGCGAAAUGCGAUAAGUAAUGUGAAUUGCAGAAUUCAGUGAAUCAUCGAAUCUUUGAACGCACAUUGCGCCCUCUGGUAUUCCAGAGGGCAUGCCUGUUCGAGCGUCAUUUCAACCCUCAAGCCUAGCUUGGUGUUGGGGCAUUACCUGACUUUACAGAAUGGUAAGCCCUGAAAUUUAGUGGCGAGCUCGCCAGGACUCCGAGCGCAGUAGUGUAAACCUCGCUUUGGAUAGUACUGGCGCGGCCCUGCCGUAAAACCCCCAACUUCUGAAAAUUUGACCUCGGAUCAGGUAGGAAUACCCGCUGAACUUAAGCAUAUCAAUAAGCGGAGGAA